GACGAACGCUGGCGGCGUGCCUAAUACAUGCAAGUCGAACGCACGAAGUUGAAGAGCUUGCUCUUUAACCAAGUGAGUGGCGGACGGGUGAGUAACACGUGGGUAACCUGCCCAUUAGAGGGGGAUAACAUUCGGAAACGGAUGCUAAUACCGCAUAGUUUCAGGAAUCGCAUGAUUCUUGAAGGAAAGGUGGCUUCGGCUAUCACUAAUGGAUGGACCCGCGGCGUAUUAGCUAGUUGGUGAGGUAAUGGCUCACCAAGGCAAUGAUACGUAGCCGACCUGAGAGGGUGAUCGGCCACACUGGGACUGAGACACGGCCCAGACUCCUACGGGAGGCAGCAGUAGGGAAUCUUCCGCAAUGGACGAAAGUCUGACGGAGCAACGCCGCGUGAGUGAAGAAGGUUUUCGGAUCGUAAAACUCUGUUGUUAAAGAAGAACAAGGAUGAGAGUAACUGCUCAUCCCCUGACGGUAUUUAACCAGAAAGCCGCGGCUAACUACGUGCCAGCAGCCGCGGUAAUACGUAGGUGGCAAGCGUUGUCCGGAUUUAUUGGGGGUAAAGCGAGCGCAGGCGGUUCUUUAAGUCUGAUGUGAAAGCCCCCGGCUCAACCGGGGAGGGUCAUUGGAAACUGGAGAACUUGAGUGCAGAAGAGGAGAGUGGAAUUCCACGUGUAGCGGUGAAAUGCGUAGAUAUGUGGAGGAACACCAGUGGCGAAGGCGACUCUCUGGUCUGUAACUGACGCUGAGGCUCGAAAGCGUGGGGAGCAAACA
rnacentral:rRNA from 1 species